GAUGAACGCUGGCGGCGUGCCUAAUACAUGCAAGUCGAGCGAACAGACGAGGAGCUUGCUCCUUUGAUGUUAGCGGCGGACGGGUGAGUAACACGUAGGUAACCUACCUAUAAGACUGGGAUAACCUCGGGAAACCGGAGCUAAUACCGGAUAAUAUUUCGAACCGCAAGGUUCGAUAGUGAAAGAUGGCUUUGCUAUCCCUUAUAGAUGGACCUGCGCCGUAUUAGCUAGUUGGUAAGGUAACGGCUUACCAAGGAAACGAUACGUAGCCGACCUGAGAGGGUGAUCGGCCACACUGGAACUGAGACACGGUCCAGACUCCUACGGGAGGCAGCAGUAGGGAAUCUUCCGCAAUGGGCGAAAGCCUGACGGAGCAACGCCGCGUGAGUGAUGAAGGUCUUCGGAUCGUAAAACUCUGUUAUUAGGGAAGAACAAACGUGUAAGUAACUGUGCACGUCUUGACGGUACCUAAUCAGAAAGCCACGGCUAACUACGUGCCAGCAGCCGCCGUAA
rnacentral:rRNA from 1 species